CAGAAAGGAAAGGAAGUCAUUAUAGUUGAUGAACAAGAAGAUGCCAGUGGCCUGAGCAGUAACGGGGUGAGAUGCAGGGGCCCUGAACAGUGGGAGGGUUCGGGAUGAACUUUCUCAAAAACAACUUGCCAAGUACAUUUCAAGACUCUAGACAGAAAUUAAAAACAAACCAACAAAACAAAACAGAAAACAGAAAAACCCCAGUCUAUGAGAGGGUGAGCCUCUCAUAGAUGUGGUUGACCAUCUGAGGGCAAGGACCCCAGGAGGUGAGGGUGUGGGUGGGAGCAAAGGGAGAGGCCAGGAAGGAGGAGCACUGAAGCCACUCUGCCCCAGGUGACCUCCUCAGUCAUAGCUGCCCCCUCAUGCAGCACAGAGCACAGGAAACAGAGCCCUGAGGUGGACCAUUUAGGGUUGGCCAUCCCUGCUUCGGGGACGGGAUAUAAGCAGAGGCCCCAGUAAUCCUUGUCAGGGUUUUCUAUGUCUUAGAAAACCUCAGUUUCACUUGCUAGGAAAUGAAUAAAGUCUUGUAGAAAUGAAUUAAUACUGCCUGUAUUCAAUCCUCUAGGAACCAGCCUCCAGGUAAAAGAACUGCCAUUUUUGUUGCCUGUUCUGAUCACAUAUAAAUAUGAAGGAUCUGCUGUGUAUCUACAAAGCAAUGAUGAGAGAACAAUCACCAGACUGAGCCUUUGUGAUGUGUCCUGCCAGGCACUCUGUUUUAUCAUUGCUACUCUUCACAGCUACGGGAUAAAAACCGAGAACCCUGGACCAGCGCUAAGCGAAACUGAGAGAAAUCCAACACAGGAAUCUUCCUGAAAAAAGAGUGGAGGUGCACGUACCUACAUACACAUACUGAGAUCAGUAAGAAUAACUUAGAAUCAUGGACUUUGAGAACCAGAUAGGACUGUGGUGAGCACCGUACAACUGGAGAGACUGAACGACCUGCUACGCUAAAAAGAUGGCAAAACAGGUCUCCAUUUGGAUUCAACAGACAGUCUUUCCCCAGAGUGGAGCACGUCCCUGGCACAGCUGUCACAUGUUUCUAUGACACGCACAGGAGCACCUGAGCAGGGAGUCAGGUGUUUUGAUGUCCUCUACCCGAUCAGCACUGCCAUUGUGCUCUGCUGGCUUCGUGUCCUUCCUGGGGGUGUCCACAGC